CGUGUAGGCGGGUAGAUAAGUUAGAUGUGAAACCCUAAGGCUUAACCUUAGGCAUGCAUCUAAAACUGUAUAUCUUGAGUGCAGGAGAGGAGAGUGGAAUUCCUAGUGUAGCAGUGAAAUGCGUAGAUAUUAGGAGGAACACCAGUGGCGAAGGCGGCUCUCUGGCCUGCAACUGACGCUGAGGCGCGAAAGCGUGGGAAGCAAACA
rnacentral:rRNA from 1 species